ACAAAAUAAUAUAAAUUAUAAUAUGAUCUAAUUUUUUAUCUGUUUACCUAUGUAUUAAUGAAUAGAAAAGAAUAGUCUGGAAGGAUAUGUGUCAAAAUGUUAACAGUGAUUAUCUCUGAGUAUUAGAAAUAAGAGUAGCUUUCCUUUAUUCUUAAUAACUUUAUAGAGACUAAAAAUUAAUAAAUUUGAAAAGUGAAGCUAUUUUACUAUUUAAAGACCUUUAGUGAAAAUUUCAUGUCUCUAGUAAUUUCUUAAUUUCCUUCUUUAUUUGGCUCAUUUCUACUUAUAGGGAUACAUUUAGAGUGACAGAAAAAAAAAAAAAAACAGCUUUCCAGUUGUGAUUCAUUUCGUCGGGGGCUUACCUCACUGUUAGAACUUGAAUGAAGUCGGGAUUGGAAAACACAACCGAUUAUUGGGAUCAAGAAUGAAGUGAGGAUGGAGACUCGGAAGCAGGAAUUUGGAUCUGAGCUUACAAUACCAGCUGCAGGGUAGAAAGUCAGUCUGCCUCUGCAGGGCCGGGGCAUUCGCAAGUAGAUGAGUUAAUAACCAGACGAGUGUCAGAGCCCAGCCUGAGACCACAGACAGGAAGGGAAGUAGGCAGGCGAGGGCAGAGUGCUGAGACCAUUAGGAUAAGCAGAUCUCAAUAGAACGGACCAAGGAGCAAGUCUCUGACCACUGAAAACCCACAGAUUGGGCAGGCUUCUGUCAUCAGUGGAGUCCCCCAGGUUACACUCUUUUCUUUCCUUUGAGGUCCUUUGUGCGUCAGUGAAACCUGUCAAACGACUAACCCCUGGCAAACGACUGUCCCCUCAGACCACUGAGCCCUGUUCUUUCUCACCUUUUCCUGGUGGUUCACAAACCUCGUGAGAAAUGGCUUGUGGGCCAGUUCAACCCAGAAUAUUACAGCGUUGCCUGAAGCAUGUCAAGUCAAUUGGUGUCGAAUGGAUUGAUUCACUGGCCGCGUGGAGCACCCCGCGCUCGUCAUGUCUAGUGUUCUCCUUCCUGCCCAUGACCCAGGUACCCCAUCCCCCGCCCAUCUUAUUGGUAUUAUUUAGGCAGUGAGUGGAUUUGCUAUAUUAGACUCGUCCGUACUGUGAAGAAUCGAUCUCACUCAAGUUUCCUCAAGUGAUGGGAGCUGCGCAGAGGAGGAGGCCCCUACAUGAUGAAUGGCGGCAUAAAUUUCACUCAGUUGUCCUUCGCUUGCUAACGUAGGGAUUAGUUUCUUUGCUGCCCUUGUAGCUGGGCAUGAUUGCGGGAUCCAGUCCAGCCGGUGGGGAAAGGGCGGGCCCUCUGUUCCUCUCUCUGCCUUCCUGCCGACUGGGGAUGGGGACGCUUGAAACAGCGCCUGGGGCUGGAAGUGGAAGCUUUCCCUGCAUGGACUGGUUUACCUCUGGACUGUUAGACGUUAAGACAUAAAUAUGGGUCUUGGUCAAGCCACUUUUCUUUCUGGUUUCUGUGUAAUAGCGCCUGAGUCUGACGCUCCAGUGAACACACCCCAGUAGUCAGAGGAAGGUGAGGGCUCAGGUCUCCCAACAACUCCCCGCCCCAGAGAUGGAAGCCAAACGUGCAUUUGUAAAAGGGCCGUAAAAAUACACCUGCAACUUAUUUUAUACGUUUAAUAAAGUCUGUAUCUCUGUCCUUUUGGAUGUUCCUUACCUUGCUCAAGAGAUUCACUUGAGGAGAAUAAGACAGUGUUGUGGGGGCAGGAGUCCGUUGCACCUGGCGUUGGCGCCGGACGGUCAAGAUCAUCCAUGCGGAGUGCGGCCUGCGGCCCGUUCCGAGAGCAGCCUGGUGAACACGCUAGAACACACCCCUUCACAAAGGGCGGGGCACCCCCGAAGGUUUUCUGGCCAACUCAUAAAUUGUGGACUUCUCAGAUUUCAACAAUAAAAACCCACUUCUAAUGUCCAUUUUGAUCAUUGACAGCCUCAGCUUUUUAGUUGAGGCAAAGAUAACUGGAAAACUCUAGAGUAACUGUCUCUUCACGUGGCCUUUUGAUCCACUGACCUCGUGCUGUAUCGAGAAGGAAACUGGAGGCCGCAUUCCAGGGCCUGGAGUACUUCCUGACACUCUCUCAGCUUCUUGCUGUGCCUUUUGCUUCCACGCUUCCUCUGUGGUCUUGUAAACUUCCUCUCCCCUACAGGCCUCCUAGCUUUGGAUUAGUCCUGGCGUCUCCUGCUUUAGAGUUUCGGUUUUUAGCUUUCUCUCGAUUUUGUUCUGUGCUGGCCUCUGACGGCUUUCUCUGUCCGAGUUGCAUUCACACCUUCUGAGAAAGGAUCUGACCGAGUGGUUUCCUCCCUGUUCGGUACACUUUGUCCCUCCUGGGGUCAAGCUCACAUGCCUGGCCGCGUGGAAGGCCAGUGGUCUUCCUCAUGUCCAGUCGAGAUGUGACACCUUUUUAGGUCAGACAGACGCCAGCCCCUGGGCCUGAGAACCAUAGUUGCAAGAUAGGUUUUACAGAGGUUGAAAACUUGUCCACAAGAAAGUGUUUCUGGAUCCUUUGUUCUUGAAGGGAGGGCAGAUGUCACGUUUGUAAGACUCCUCUCUAGUACUUUCUUUGAUGCUUGCAACCGAGCAGGGACAUAAGGGUCACAGACCAGAUCCCCUGGUAAAUUGCUGACAAGUGUAGUUAAUUAAAUCCACACACUAAUGUUUGUAGAGUGUGUGCCAGACGCCGUGCUGGACUAGUGAUCGAGGCAUCCGAAGAGCGGCGUCUAGUGAGAGAGGCACAAAAGCAGAUGAUGUCAAUAGCUCGAGGAGAAGCUGUUUGUGUCUCUCUACCCUUGGGUAAAUUGGGACAGGGAGCUGGGACGUGGCACUCAACAAUCUGACCACAGACAGUAUUUGAGCCCGAAAGGAGGAAGAAAAGUAGCGCCGCAGCCGCUACCUGCACAACAGGCAGCUCUAAUAGGAAAGUAGCCUACGGACGUGUAUGCUUGCGUCUUGUCCUGUGAAUCGGAGUGAGUAUAAACAGCUCCUUAUCGUCAGAAUAAAACGGGUUUAGAGAACUCAUCUUAAAGUACCAG
rnacentral:lncRNA from 1 species